rnacentral:tRNA from 1 species
GGGGGCUUAUUGUUGGUCGCUGCUAACGGUCAUUGGAGAUUUUGUUUAUCUCGGUUCCCU